rnacentral:rRNA from 1 species
UACGAAGGGUGCAAACGUUGCUCGGAAUUAUUGGGCGUAAAGCGCACGUAGGCGGCUUAGCAAGCUCCAUGAUGAACGCCACGGCUUAACCGUGGAAGUGCAUGGGAAACUGCUGAGCUUGAGUACUUAAGAGGAUCGCGGAAUUCCCGGUGUAGAGGUGAAAUUCGUAGAUAUCGGGAGGAACACCAGUGGCGAAGGCGGCGAUCUGGGAAGAUACUGACGCUGAGGUGCGAAAGCGUGGGGAGCAAACAGGG